UACGGGGGGGGCAAGCGUUGUUCGGAAUCACUGGGUGUAAAGGGUGCGUAGGCGGUCCGUUAAGUCUGAUGUGAAAGCCCUGGGCUCAACUCAGGAAUUGCAUUGGAAACUGGCGGGCUGGAGUACGGGAGAGGGAAGCGGAAUUCCUGGUGUAGCGGUGAAAUGCGUAGAUACCAGGAGGAACACCGGUGGCGAAGGCGGUUUCCUGGCCCAGUACUGACGCUGAGGUGCGAAAGCGUGGGGAGCAAACAGG
rnacentral:rRNA from 1 species